CCUCAAAAGACGAUCUUUGACUCUCUGGACGAAAAUGGCCUUACCUUCGGCAUUUAUUACCAGAAUAUCCCUGCCACUCUCUUCUACAAGUCCCUGAGAAAAUUGAAGCACAUAUUGAAAUUCCACAAGUAUGAAUUGAAGUUCAAACGGCAUGCGAGGUUAGGGAAGUUGCCGAAUUAUGUGGUGGUGGAGCAGCGGUACUUUGACGUGGAGCUUUUUCCGGCAAAUGAUGACCAUCCGUCGCAUGACGUGUCGCUCGGACAGAAGUUCGUGAAGGAGGUGUACGAGACGCUGAGGGCCAGCCCGCAGUGGAAAGAAAUGGCGCUUUUGAUUACUUAUGACGAGCAUGGUGGAUUUUAUGAUCACGUGCCGACCCCUGUCUCUGGAGUGCCGAAUCCGGAUGGGAUCAUCGGGCCUGACCCGUUUUAUUUCCGGUUUGACCGGUUGGGUGUCAGGGUUCCCACCAUUUUGGUGUCGCCUUGGAUUGAAAAGGGCACUGUCAUCCGUAAGCCCGUUGGGCCAUCACCACAUUCACAGUUUGAACAUUCUUCUGUCCCUGCAACUGUAAAGAAGCUUUUCAAUCUAAAAUCGAACUUCUUAACAAAGAGAGAUGCAUGGGCUGGUACUUUUGAGGAUUACUUUUACGUUCGUGACACUCCACGCGAUGAUUGUCCAGAAACUCUGCCGGAGGUGCAGAUGUCA
rnacentral:misc_RNA from 1 species